GACGAACGCUGGCGGCGUGCUUAACACAUGCAAGUCGAGCGGUAAGGCCCUUUCGGGGGUACACGAGCGGCGAACGGGUGAGUAACACGUGGGUGACCUGCCCUCAGCUCUGGGAUAAGCCUGGGAAACCGGGUCUAAUACUGGAUAUGACUCCAUGACGCAUGUUGUGGGGUGGAAAGCCUUGUGCGGCUGAGGAUGGGGCCCGCGGCCUAUCAGCUUGUUGGUGGGGUGAGGCCUACCAAGGCGACGACGGGUAGCCGGCCUGAGAGGGCGACCGGCCACACUGGGACUGAGACACGGCCCAGACUCCUACGGGAGGCAGCAGUGGGGAAUAUUGCGCAAUGGGCGUAAGCCUGACGCAGCGACGCCGGCGU
rnacentral:rRNA from 1 species